UGAGGAAUAUUGCGCAAUGGACGAAAGUCUGACGCAGCGACGCCGCGUGAAGGAUGAAGGCUCUUUGGGUUGUAAACUUCUGUAGAAAGGGAAGAAUGUAUCGUUUUACGAUAUUGACGGUACCUUUAAAGUAAGCAUCGGCUAACUACGUGCCAGCAGCCGCGGUAAUACGUAGGAUGCGAGCGUUGUCCGGAAUUAUUGGGUGUAAAGGGAGUGUAGGUGGGUUUUCAAGUCAGUGGUGAAAUCUUGC
rnacentral:rRNA from 1 species